rnacentral:rRNA from 1 species
GUGCCAGCAGCCGCGGUAACACGGGGGGAGCAAGCGUUGUUCGGAAUCACUGGGCGUAAAGGGCGUGUAGGCGGAUAGGUAAGUGGGAUGUGAAAUCCCUCGGCUCACCCGAGGACCUGCAUCCCAAACUGCCUGUCUUGAGUACGGGAGAGGAUGGAGGAAUUCCUGGUGUAGCGGUGAAAUGCGUAGAUAUCAGGAGGAACACCGGUGGCGAAGGCGUCCAUCUGGCCCGAUACUGACGCUGAGGCGCGAAAGCUAGGGGAGCAAACGGGAUUAGAUACCCCGGUAGUCC